rnacentral:lncRNA from 10 species
UUAACUCUUGGUAUUUGUAAAUACAUGCUUACUAGAGUCUCAUAGCAACUUAAUAGGACAGGACAGUUUAUUAAACUAACUUAAACAUAGUAAACAUGGAUUGUAAGAAAAUAGAAAAGAAAAAAAUGAGAGAAGGGAUGGACAAUCAUGCCAUUUUUGCAAAGCAUUUACAAAUUCAACUAAAAAAUUCUAUCCUGCUUUAUCUGAAUUUUUCUAGGUGGGACAGCUCUUUAAAAUAAUUAUUAGUUCUAUGUCUGUGGUAAUUUCCCUACAGCAGAGAAGAAACAUUCAUACUAUUGUAAAGAUAUAAUAGCUACCAUAUACAAAUAAAUGUCUGAAUGAUUGUAUGACAGGCAUUAAUAUUCUUAAUACCUAAGUGCAAUAACAUUAUAACUAACUCUGACUGAUUAAAAGGAUGGUACUAGGUUCAAUAGCUGGUUGUGAUGCCAUAUGGUUUGGUUGUGUUAGUUUCCUAAAGAAGAAAGACAAAAUAUAAACCAAAGGCAGGAAAACAUUGUUAAAUAAUAAAUCUCAUAUUCACUCAAAUUGAAAGCAAAUAAUAAGACAGAAAAAAGUGUGUAUGAUCAUUUAAACAGAUAUUUUCUAGUAACAUUGUACCAUGAUGGCACAAUAGAAAAUCCUGGAUUCGCCUUUCCACCAUUUCGACAGCAAAAUAUUAAUCAAUUCCCUUUGUAAGAAAACCAGAAACUAGUUAAGAGGCUCCUGCACUCCAGAAAAAUGUGAAACCAGCAAUAUAAAAAACAGUAGAAAACGUUGAGGCAUUCUCUUGCUAAUUUCCACCACAAGCACAGGGCCAUAUGAUCAGGAGGAAACACCCAGCUCACAGCUCCUCUCUGAGGAGGAAAGAAGUUGGACUGAACAUCUAAUGCCCCAAUUUGUCUGGGUCCUGCACAAGGGACUGGUUUCUAUCUCACCUGUCUUUGAGAGCUGAUGGGGCCUAGGAUAUGCAAGUUCCCUAGGGCCUAUAGGGAGCAAAAUGGUAGUUAGAGCUAGUAUGUAGGCAUUAUCACAUCUCCUUUCCCUAGAUCAGCACAGAGUGAAUGAGCAGUAAAUCCUAGCUCCCAGCUUCUAUCUGAGGAGGGAAAGAGUUGGCUUAUGCACCCAAAAUUUCAACUUUAUCAGCAGCUAACUGAGGGUUUGGUUUCUGUCCCACCUGUAUCUCAGCACUUAAGAGAUUUUGCAUACUCUAGGUGCAUGAGACUGCUAAGAAUAAAGAUGACAGUUUUAAAUAACAUAAAAGUUUAAGAGGCCCAUAGAACCUCAAGACAGGUUGAUUGGUGAAGAUUUUCUUCUGUAUAAGAUCAAUCCGGUAAAAGGAGAGUUUUUUUAAUGAGUAAAUACUGACCCAAUGGGUCAAGGAAAAUGAAGAAGCAGGAAAGCACAAUCCAAACAAAGGAACAAGAUAGAACUCCAGAUUGAACCCUAAUGAAAUGGACAUAUACAAAUUUCCAAAGACGGAAUUCAAAAUAACUGUCAUAAAAAUGCUUGAUGAGUACGGGAGAGCAAUGCACAAACAAAAGGAGAAUUUCAAGAGAGAUAGAAAUUUUUUUUAAAAAAGAACUAGACGUUAACCUUGGAGACAAAGAAUAAAAUAACUAAACUGAAAAAUUCAAUAGAAGGUUUCAACAGCAAACAAGUCUCCAAAGCAAUCUCGAAAAAGAUGUACAAAGCUGGAAACAUCACACUUUAUGAUUUCAAUAUAUAUUACAAAGGUACUAAUAUUAAAACAGCAUAGUAAUGGCAUAAAGGCUGACAAAUAGACCAAUGAAAUAUAAUAGAGAGCUCAGAAGUAAAUCCACACAUUUAUAGUCAACUGAUCUUCACUAAGAAUACCAACGAUACACAACAGAGAAAGGACAGUCUUUUCAACAAAAAGUGUGGGGAAAACUGGAUAUCCACAGGCAAAAAAUUAGGUUAGACCCAAUCUUAUAAAAAAAAUUAAAUGUAUUAAAUACUUAAAUGUAAAAUCUGAACCUGUAAAACUCUUGGAAGAAAACAUAUGUGAAAAGCUUCAUGACAUCGGCCUUGGCAAGAAUUUUAUUGAUAUUGAAACAAGAUAGUUUCCUGACACCUUUGUGGGACUCUCGAAGGGUUGGUUCAUUUACUCAGCUCGCAGCUCUCGACCCCUUACAGGAGGGGCAGCACACAGGUGACUGGGUGCAGAGGCCAGGAUGAGCUCAUCUGGGCAACUGGCAGUAGCAGUAUUCUGUGUGGACUCACAGUAGCAUCCAGGGGUUGCCCACGACCCAUAGAGUACCAGAGGGCGUGGAUGGCUUAAGUGCUAAACAGCUCAUGAGGCAGGAGAAUGGCGUGAACCCAGGAGGUGGAGCUUGCAGUGAGCCGAGAUCGCACCACUGCACUCCAGCCUGGGUGACAGAGUGAGACUCCAUCUCAAAAAAAAAAAAAAAAAAGAAAAGUGUUAAACAGUUCGGUGGAGAGUCAGUGUGACAGCCUCUUGGACCCGCAUCCCAGUCCUUGUCUAGAGUCUCACAGCAACUUAUGAGGCGUCCAGAAAGAAUCACAUCACUCAACAAAUUGAAGGGUGGUGAAUGUGGAGGAUUUUGUUGAGUGGUGGGAGUGGCUCUCAGCAGGAUGGCAGCUGGAAAAGGGAUGGAGUGGGAAGGUGGUAUUCCCCUGGAGUUCCGCCAUUCCCAGCCGAACUCUUCUCCAAUGUCCCGCCAUCAAGUCGUCUCUCUGAAGUCAAGCUGCUUCUCUCUGACAACCAGCUGCUUCAUCUCUUGUCUCCUUCUCUGCCACUCUGCCAUUGGGGUCUGGGGUUCCUCCUGAUUUGAUGUAUGGAGGAAAAUACAACAUUACUUCUGUGGUGUUUCUUCUGAGAUGCAUAAUCUGAAUCUAAUCAUGGUG